UCGAACGGGCUAGUGCUUCGCACUAGUCUCUUUCUGGGGUUGCUACUCUAAGGCUACCUGCUAAAGUUAUUGCUUUAAAGCAGGGGUUUAGGGGACCUUCCCAAAAGGGGCCAGUGCGGAGCACUGGCCAGUGGCGAACGGGUGAGUAACACGUGGGUAAUCUGCCCUCGAGUGGGGAAUAAGCUCCCGAAAGGGGGUCUAAUACCGCAUGACGUUUCAUAACGAUGGUUAUGAAACCAAAGCCCAAAAGGCGCUUGAGGAGGAGCCUGCGUCCUAUCAGCUUGUUGGCAGGGUAAUGGCCUACCAAGGCUAUGACGGGUAGCCGGCCUGAGAGGGUGUCCGGCCACACUGGAACUGAGACACGGUCCAGACUCCUACGGGAGGCAGCAGUGGGGAAUUUUGCGCAAUGGGGGAAACCCUGACGCAGCGACGCCGCGUGGAGGAUGACGGCCGUUCGGGUUGUAAACCUCUGUCCCGUGGGGACGAAGGACCACACAGGAAAUGGUGUGGGGGUGACGGUACCCUAGGAGGAAGCCCCGGCUAACUACGUG
rnacentral:rRNA from 1 species